GACGAACGCUGGCGGCGUGCCUAAUACAUGCCAGUUGAGCGCUGAAGGUUGGGACUUGUACCAACUGGAUGAGCAGCGAACGGGUGAGUAACGCGUGGGGAAUCUGCCUUUGAGCGGGGGACAACAUUUGGAAACGAAUGCUAAUACCGCAUAAAAACUUUAAACACAAGUUUUAAGUUUGAAAGAUGCAAUUGCAUCACUCAAAGAUGAUCCCGCGUUGUAUUAGCUAGUUGGUGAGGUAAAGGCUCACCAAGGCGAUGAUACAUAGCCGACCUGAGAGGGUGAUCGGCCACAUUGGGACUGAGACACGGCCCAAACUCCUACGGGAGGCAGCAGUAGGGAAUCUUCGGCAAUGGACGAAAGUCUGACCGAGCAACGCCGCGUGAGUGAAGAAGGGUUUCGGAUCGUAAAACUCUGUUGGUAGAGAAGAACGUUGGUGAGAGUGGAAAGCUCAUCAAGUGACGGUAACUACCCAGAAAGGGACGGCUAACUACGUG
rnacentral:rRNA from 1 species